UACGUAGGGGGCAAGCGUUGUCCGGAAUCAUUGGGCGUAAAGAGCGUGUAGGCGCCAGAAAAGUCCGCUGUGAAAACUCGAGGCUCAACUUCGAGCUGUCGGUGGAAACUUUCUGGCUAGAGUCCGGAAGAGGAGAAUGGAAUUCCUGGUGUAGCGGUGAAAUGCGCAGAUAUCAGGAAGAACACCCGUGGCGAAGGCGGUUCUCUGGGACGGUACUGACGCUGGAGACGCGAAAGCGUGGGGAGCGAACAGG
rnacentral:rRNA from 1 species